GCUCCAGUGGCUCAAUCGUUAGCGCGUGUUACUUAAAAUGCCGGGUUGUGAGUUCGAGCCUCACCUAGAGCA
rnacentral:tRNA from 1 species